rnacentral:rRNA from 1 species
CCUACGGGUGGCAGCAGUGGGGAAUAUUGCACAAUGGGGGAAACCCUGAUGCAGCGACGCCGCGUGAGUGAAGAAGUAAUUCGUUAUGUAAAGCCCUAUCAGCAGGGAAGAAAAUGACGGUACCUGAGGAAGAAGCACCGGCUAACUACGUGCCAGCAGCCGCGGUAAUACGGAGGGGGCAAGCGUUAUCCGGAUUUACUGGGCGUAAAGGGUGCGUAGGCGGGAGUACAAGUCUGGUGUGAAAGGCGGGGGCUCAACCCCCGGACUGCUCUGGAAACUGUACGGCUGGAGUGCAGGAGAGGUAGGUGGAAUUCCUGGUGUAGCGGUAAAAUGCGUAGAUAUUAGGAGGAACACCAGUGGCGAAGGCGGCUUACUGGACUGUAACUGACGUUGAGGCACGAAAGCGUGGGGAGCAAACAGGAUUAGAUACCCGGGUAGUC